rnacentral:rRNA from 1 species
UAGGGAAUCUUCCACAAUGGGCGCAAGCCUGAUGGAGCAACACCGCGUGAGUGAAGAAGGGUUUCGGCUCGUAAAGCUCUGUUGUUAAAGAAGAACACGUAUGAGAGUAACUGUUCAUACGUUGACGGUAUUUAACCAGAAAGUCACGGCUAACUACGUGCCAGCAGCCGCGGUAAUACGUAGGUGGCAAGCGUUAUCCGGAUUUAUUGGGCGUAAAGAGAGUGCAGGCGGUUUUCUAAGUCUGAUGUGAAAGCCUUCGGCUUAACCGGAGAAGUGCAUCGGAAACUGGAUAACUUGAGUGCAGAAGAGGGUAGUGGAACUCCAUGUGUAGCGGUGGAAUGCGUAGAUAUAUGGAAGAACACCAGUGGCGAAGGCGGCUACCUGGUCUGCAACUGACGCUGAGACUCGAAAGCAUGGGUAGCGAACAGGAUUAGAUACCCUGGUAGUCCAUGCCGUAAACGAUGAGCGCUAGGUGUUGGGGACUUUCCGGUCCUCAGUGCCGCAGCAAACGCAUUAAGCGCUCCGCCUGGGGGAGUACGACCGCAAGGUUGAAAC